GAUGAACGCUGGCGGCGUGCCUAAUACAUGCAAGUCGAGCGAACAGACGAGGAGCUUGCUCCUCUGACGUUAGCGGCGGACGGGUGAGUAACACGUGGAUAACCUACCUAUAAGACUGGGAUAACUUCGGGAAACCGGAGCUAAUACCGGAUAAUAUAUUGAACCGCAUGGUUCAAUAGUGAAAGACGGUUUUGCUGUCACUUAUAGAUGGAUCCGCGCCGCAUUAGCUAGUUGGUAUGGUAACGGCUUACCAAGGCAACGAUGCGUAGCCGACCUGAGAGGGUGAUCGGCCACACUGGAACUGAGACACGGUCCAGACUCCUACGGGAGGCAGCAGUAGGGAAUCUUCCGCAAUGGGCGGAAGCCUGACGGAGCAACGCCGCGUGAGUGAUGAAGGUCUUCGGAUCGUAAAACUCUGUUAUUAGGGAAGAACAAAUGUGUGAGUAACUAUGCACGUCUUGACGGUACCUAAUCAGAAAGCCACGGCUAACUACGUG
rnacentral:rRNA from 1 species